AUUUACAGUGGCUGCCACUGAU
rnacentral:snRNA from 1 species